CCCGCUAAUGCCUGGUGCACGUGGUGGGCAUCAGCCCCUAGAAGAUGGGAAAAUAUCAAAAUGUGGGCCAGGUGCUGGCACUUCUUCCUUGCCCUCAUAGAACAAUAUCCUAUCUUGAGAAACAGCAGGUAAACAUAACAAACAAUAACAAAUAAUAGCCUGACAUAUGCCUAUGCAUUAUAAUAAGCAGCCGGCAACUACAUAAAUAAUUAUAUAUGAACACA